UGGGGAAUAUUGGACAAUGGGCGAAAGCCUGAUCCAGCAAUACCGCGUGAGUGAUGAAGGCCUUAGGGUUGUAAAGCUCUUUUAAUAGGGAAGAUAAUGACGGUACCUAUAGAAAAAGCCCCGGCUAACUCCGUGCCAGCAGCCGCGGUAAGACGGAGGGGGCUAGCGUUGUUCGGAAUUACUGGGCGUAAAGAGCGCGUAGGCGGCUCGGCAAGUUGGAAGUGAAAUCCCAAGGCUCAACCUUGGAACUGCUUUCAAAACUGCUGAGCUAGAGUAUGGUAGGGGGUGAUAGAAUUCCUAGUGUAGAGGUGAAAUUCUUAGAUAUUAGGAGGAAUACCGGUGGCGAAGGCGAUCACCUGGGCCAUAACUGACGCUGAGGCGCGAAAGCGUGGGGGGCAAACAG
rnacentral:rRNA from 1 species